rnacentral:rRNA from 1 species
ACUCCUACGGGAGGCAGCUGUGGGGAAUUUUGGACAAUGGGCGAAAGCCUGAUCCAGCAAUGCCGCGUGAGUGAAGAAGGCCUUCGGGUUGUAAAGCUCUUUUGUCAGGGAAGAAACGGUGAAAGCUAAUAUCUUUUGCUAAUGACGGUACCUGAAGAAUAAGCACCGGCUAACUACGUGCCAGCAGCCGCGGUAAUACGUAGGGUGCAAGCGUUAAUCGGAAUUACUGGGCGUAAAGCGUGCGCAGGCGGUUUUGUAAGUCUGAUGUGAAAUCCCCGGGCUCAACCUGGGAAUUGCAUUGGAGACUGCAAGGCUAGAAUCUGGCAGAGGGGGGUAGAAUUCCACGUGUAGCAGUGAAAUGCGUAGAUAUGUGGGGGAACACCGAUGGCGAAGGCAGCCCCCUGGGUCAAGAUUGACGCUCAUGCACGAAAGCGUGGGGAGCAAACAGGAUUAGAAACCCCGGUAGUCCC